UUCCUACGGGAGGCAGCAGCGAGGAAUAUUGGUCAAUGGGCGGAAGCCUGAACCAGCCAAGUCGCGUGAGGGAAGAAGGCCCUGCGGGUCGCAGACCUCUUUGGACGGGGAGCAAGGCCGCCGACGUGUCGGCGGAAGGAGAGUACCCGUAGAACAAGCAUCGGCUAACUCCGUGCCAGCAGCCGCGGUAAUACGGAGGAUGCGAGCGUUAUCCGGAUUUACUGGGUGUAAAGGGAGCGUAGACGGCGCGGCAAGUCUGAAGUGAAAGGCAGGGGCUUAACCCCUGAACUGCUUUGGAAACUGCC
rnacentral:rRNA from 1 species